GCCGGGAUGGCGGAAUCGGUAGACGCGCCGGACUUAAAAUCCUGUGGGCCGUAAGGCCCGUGCGGGUUCGAUUCCCGCUCCUGGUA
rnacentral:tRNA from 1 species